UGGGCACUGAAAUUACACAUGGACACUGAAAUUCUCUCCAGCUGGAUAAUUCAACUGUUACUGUAGAAAACGACAAGGAACUGAGGGUCAAGAUAUCCUCAGAACUGUAUCCAGCUCGGGAUGGAGGUGGGUUGAGGUCACACUGCCCCAUAUAUCUCAAGUUCAUCACAGUAGUGCAGAAUUCUUCCCAAAGAGUGAGUUUACAUUGAGUUUUCUGUUCUUGGCUGAGGUGGUCUCCUUGUAACAUUUUGAACUAAAGGCUUUUUACAUUAUAUUGUAUACAAACUCUGUUAAAGCUGUGUUCGGAAUACAGUUUUCUGCUGUUUAAAAAAAAUCCUGACCCAUUUUUCGAAAAUCUGUCUGCAUCGUGCACUAGAGGAGAAUCUUCA
rnacentral:lncRNA from 1 species